UCAAACAAACCGCCGACUCUCUAUCCUCCAAUCAGAGUGCCGUUCAAUGUUUGUGCAUCCUCGAUAGGGAUGCACGUCGCUAUUGGCUCUUUGCUAAUGUAAUUUCGCUCUGACGCAAGUACGUGUAGUUUCGACACGUGCCAUCCAAGUCUACGAACAAGUCGACUCUUUCCAGCUCUUCUCGUUGUCUGUCUCUCGUUCUAAGAUUGCUAGACUCAAACUUUACCACAGAGGCCAACCAAAGGUCGACCGCAAUAGAUGAGGGGUAAUAGCACAAGCGAAGCAAGACCAGGAGAUAUUUUCCACCUCGACUUUGAGCAAGCAGCCACUUGCGUAGGGACAGCAGCAGCUGCAGGAGAGCUGGAGAAAGAUCAACAGCAUGGCAGGCUCUUUCUAUCCUAUUGUGGCGGAGACAAUGGGUCUCUUGGUCGUCAAACAGUCUAUUAAUUAGUUCUGAAGACUAUUGUCAGAAGAACAUGGUUUUCAAAACAAUGCUACUCUAUAAUUAGUCAGUGUAUGUGUAAUUGACCUCAAGAACUCUCUUGUAAAUUAUGGCAUUAUGGUUAUACAACGCUAGAAUGAUUUUAUAUUUAGAAUAGCUCUGGAUGGCAGUGUUGGUGUACCUAUAAUAAUUUUUAAAAACUAUAUACGCGUGUGCGUAUAUUAUAGUGCUGCUUGUAACAUUUAUGCUUGUAGCAUUUAUGCUGGCCAGUGUGCAUUGACUUGGCAAGAAUUACCAAGCAGCG